rnacentral:rRNA from 1 species
GAUGAACGCUGGCGGCGUGCCUAAUACAUGCAAGUCGAGCGCACGGACGAUAAGCUUGCUUCUCUGGUGUUAGCGGCGGACGGGUGCGUAACACGUGGAUAACCUACCUAUAAGACUGGGAUAACUUCGGGAAACCGGUGCUAAUACCGGAUAAUAUUUUGAACCGCAUGGUUCAAAAGUGAAAGACGGUCUUGCUGUCACUUAUAGAUGGAUCCGCGCUGCAUUAGCUAGUUGGUAAGGUAACGGCUUACCAAGGCAACGAUGCAUAGCCGACCUGAGAGGGUGAUCGGCCACACUGGAACUGAGACACGGUCCAGACUCCUACGGGAGGCAGCAGUAGGGAAUCUUCCGCAAUGGGCGAAAGCCUGACGGAGCAACGCCGCGUGAGUGAUGAAGGUCUUCGGAUCGUAAAACUCUGUUAUUAGGGAAGAACAUAUGUGUAAGUAACUGUGCGCAUCUUGACGGUACCUAAUCAGAAAGCCACGGCUAACUACGUG